rnacentral:misc_RNA from 1 species
GAAAUGCGAUAAGUAGUGUGAAUUGCAGACUUUAGUGAAUCAUUGAAUCUUUGAACGCAUAUUGCGCCUUUUGGAAUUCCACUAGGCAUGCCUGUUCGAGCGUCAUAUACUCAUUCAAGCGCUGGCUUGGUGUUGGGUAAUUGUCCUGUGCUCUGUACGGACAUGCCUUAAUAGCUACUGGCAGUUAGCCUGUUCACUUCUAUGCAGCACUUGCAACUUUGAAGCGAGAAUAGGCUGGCGUCCUAGCAAGUAACCUUAUUUUGACCUCGAAUCAGGUAGGAACACCCGCUGAACUUAAGC